AAGUCGUAACAAGGUUUCCGUAGGUGAACCUGCGGAAGGAUCAUUAAAAGUAUAUAGUUAUACGUUCUCUGUAUCGACUAAAUAUACCCAUUCCGAGUACCUUGCCUGUUGCUUCCAUGGAGCCUGACACAUGUCACUCUGGGGAUUUACAUCCCGAGGGAGCCUCCGUGGAAGGUAAUCAAUUAACUCUUGAAUCCAAUGUCAUCUGUCUGAUAAUGUUUAAAACAAAUGUUAAAACUUUCAACAACGGAUCUCUUGGUUCUCGCAUCGAUGAAGAACGCAGCGAAAUGCGAUAAGUAGUGUGAAUUGCAGAAUUCAGUGAAUCAUCGAAUCUUUGAACGCACAUUGCGCCUCCUGGUAUUCCGGGAGGCAUGCCUGUUCGAGCGUCAUUAAAUACCACUCAAGCUCUUCUGCUUGGUCAUGGAAGAAGAGUAUGCUUGCAUCCUCUCUUCUGAAAUCGAAUGGCGGACCGCCUCAUGUGCCUCGCGUAGUAAGUUCAUCUUUUCGCUGGGAGUGUGAGACAGUCUCGCCAUCAACCCCCAUACUUCUAAGGUUGACCUCGGAUCAGGUAGGGGUACCCGCUGAACUUAA
rnacentral:rRNA from 1 species